rnacentral:rRNA from 1 species
UACGUAUGGAGCAAGCGUUAUCCGGAUUUACUGGGUGUAAAGGGUGCGUAGGUGGCAGUGCAAGUCAGAUGUGAAAGGCCGGGGCUCAACCCCGGAGCUGCAUUUGAAACUGCAUAGCUAGAGUACAGGAGAGGCAGGCGGAAUUCCUAGUGUAGCGGUGAAAUGCGUAGAUAUUAGGAGGAACACCAGUGGCGAAGGCGGCCUGCUGGACUGUUACUGACACUGAGGCACGAAAGCGUGGGGAGCAAACAGG